rnacentral:rRNA from 1 species
UACGUAGGGGGCAAGCGUUGUCCGGAUUUAUUGGGCGUAAAGAGCGUGUAGGCGGCCAUACAGGUCCGUUGUGAAAACUGGAGGCUUAACCUCCAGACGUCGAUGGAAACCGUAUGGCUAGAGUCCGGAAGAGGAGAGUGGAAUUCCUGGUGUAGCGGUGAAAUGCGCAGAUAUCAGGAGGAACACCGAUGGCGAAGGCAGGUCUCUGGGCAUUAACUGACGCUGAGGAGCGAAAGCAUGGGGAGCGAACAGG